UGUUGUUGUGCACUUCACUUGUCACUUUUGUUCAUUACUAAGUCUGUUGUUGUGCAUUCAUGUUGAUUAUGUUUUCCACACGAAGUUUCUCCAUUCUGAUUUAAUUACUUGUUGUGCAUUCGAUGUGAUUUUAUGUUUCAUCCAGGUCAUGUCCCUUGACUGUGUUUCCAUCCUUAGUUGAGGUGCACACUGUAGUUAUUUUG